UGAGGAAUAUUGGUCAAUGGGCGCGAGCCUGAACCAGCCAAGUAGCGUGCAGGAUGACGGCCCUAUGGGUUGUAAACUGCUUUUGUACGGGGAUAAAGUCAAUCACGUGUGAUUGUUUGCAGGUACCAUACGAAUAAGGACCGGCUAAUUCCGUGCCAGCAGCCGCGGUAAUACGGAAGGUCCAGGCGUUAUCCGGAUUUAUUGGGUUUAAAGGGAGCGUAGGCCGGAGAUUAAGUGUGUUGUGAAAUGUAGACGCUCAACGUCUGACUUGCAGCGCAUACUGGUUUCCUUGAGUACGCACAACGUUGGCGGAAUUCGUCGUGUAGCGGUGAAAUGCUUAGAUAUGACGAAGAACUCCGAUUGCGAAGGCAGCUGACGGGAGCGCAACUGACGCUUAAGCUCGAAGGUGCGGGUAUCGAACAGGAUUAGAUACCCUGGUAGUCCGCACAGUAAACGAUGGAUGCCCGCUGUUGGUACCUGGUAUCAGCGGCUAAGCGAAAGCAUUAAGCAUCCCACCUGGGGAGUACGCCGGCAACGGUG
rnacentral:rRNA from 1 species